UUCCUACGGGGGGCAGCAGUGAGGAAUAUUGGUCAAUGGCCGGAAGGCUGAACCAGCCAAGCCGCGUGAAGGACGAAGGUGCCAAGCAUUGUAAACUUCUUUUGUCAAGGGACAAAAUCAGGCUCGAGAGCCUGACCGAGGGUACUUGGAGAAAAAGCAUCGGCUAACUCCGUGCCAGCAGCCGCGGUAAUACGGAGGAUGCGAGCGUUAUCCGGAUUUACUGGGUGUAAAGGGAGCGUAGGGGGCAGGCCAAGUCAGAUGUGAAAACCCGGGGCUCAACUCCGGGAGUGCAGUUAAAAC
rnacentral:rRNA from 1 species